CCUACGGGAGGCAGCAGUAGGGAAUCUUCCACAAUGGGCGAAAGUCUGAUGCAGCAACGCCGCGUGGGUGAAGAAGGUCUUCGGAUCGUAAAACCCUGUUGUUAGAGAAGAAAGUUCGUGAGAGUAACUGUUCACGUUUCGACGGUAUCUAACCAGAAAGCCACGGCUAACUCCGUGCCAGCAGCCGCGGUAAUACGUAGGUGGCAAGCGUUAUCCGGAUUGAUUGGGCGUAAAGGGAACGCAGGCGGUCUUUUAAGUCUGAUGUGAAAGCCUUCGGCUUAACCGGAGUAGUGCAUUGGAAACUGGGAGACUUGAGUGCAGAAGAGGAGAGUGGAACUCCAGGUGUAGCGGUGAAAUGCGUAGAUAUAUGGAAGAACACCAGUGGCGAAAGCGGCUCUCUGGUCUGUAACUGACGCUGAGGUUCGAAAGCGUGGGUAGCAAACAGGAUUAGAUACCCUUGUAGUC
rnacentral:rRNA from 1 species